UGAGCGGCAAAAGCUCAAAUUUGAAAUCCUUCGGGAGUUGUAAUUUGUAGGUUGGGAGACCCCGCGGCUAGUGGCACCAAGUCCCUUGGAACAGGGCGCCUUAGAGGGUGAGAGCCCCGUAGGUACCACAAUACCGUCUUGUGUCUCCUCUCCAAAGAGUCGAGUUGUUUGGGAAUGCAGCUCAAAGUGGGUGGUAAAUUCCAUCUAAAGCUAAAUACCGGCGAGAGACCGAUAGCGAACAAGUACAGUGAUGGAAAGAUGAAAAGCACUUUGAAAAGAGAGUGAAACAGUACGUGAAAUUGUUGAAAGGGAAGGGCUUGCAAGCAGACACGGCCUUCGUGCCGGGCCAGCAUCGGUUGCUAGGGGUGGAUAAGGAACAAGGAAUGUAGCUCCUCGGAGUAUUAUAGCCUUGCGCGAUACACCCACUGGCGACCGAGGCCUGCGGUAUUCUUUACCUAGGAUGCUGGCGUAAUGGUUGCAAGCCGCCCGUCUUGAAACACGGACCA
rnacentral:rRNA from 1 species